CAAGAGUUUCCGUCAGAGUCCAGCUGAGCUUUUGAAGACCACCAAUCAGCAGAAGGAGAGGACAGAGCAGUUUAUCUUCAACCACUUGACACUUGGUGUUUUGAAGAAGGUCAGGGCUAAUUUGGAGAAAAAGUCCUUCCUGGAGCAAAAGAAAAUCAAAUUGGGAAGCUAUAAAAUGGCAAGAGAGGAGAUAUCCGGCCCAUAUUAACUCCUGGGCAAUGACGGGAUACUGCACUUCAGAACUCCAAACCAAAGACCAAGGACACCAAACCACACUGUCACCUUGAGACAAACACAGAAACGAUUUCUUCAACUGAUAUGGGAAUUCUAAGGAAAGAAGUCUGUAGUAAGCAACCUGCUGAGAGUUAUAUCUCCCCAAGAGGGAUAGAGGGCAUAGCUGAAGGAUGUGUCCUCUUCUGGCCUGCCUUCUCUGACCUUUGAAUAAAC